rnacentral:tRNA from 1 species
GAGCGUAUGGUUUAGUGAUCAAAAUGCUUGGACGGUUUCCAGGGAGCUCGGGUUCAAAUUCCGCUACGUACA